CUGAUCUGUCCACCUGGAACCAGCUGGGGCUAUAGCCACACCGGGCUGUGCUCCAGCUUCUGAGGCCUCUGCUGGGGAGUCCCCGAGAGCCCUCUGAGCUCUGCCUUUCGCACGGUCUCUCUAGCAGGUGGAGAGGGGAUGCUGGUGGCUGAGAACCACUGCGGGGCGGGGUGGACAGUGUGAGCCUGGGCUCUCAACACCAGCCAUGCAUUUCGGCAUCCCUAAUUCUUUGUUUUGCCUUUAAUCUUUAUUAAAUUACUGUCGAAACUAACUCACUCUUCAUAAUUUUCACAAAGUAGUCUAGGUGAAAUAAAACAGACUUUGGAGCCAGAAGAAUCGAAAUAAAAUUCUCAUUUCCCAAUUACUUGCUGUGCUACCUGGUACAAAUGACUUGGCCUGUCUGAGCCUGUCUGCAUUUUUAAAAGGAAGUAACGACACCUGCCUCAUGAUACAGCUGAAAGGACUAAGUUAGAUGAAAUGUCUCUGGUCCUGAGCAGGGCACCAGUGGUGCCCACGGUGCCGGUUACUGGGGUGAGUGUCACUUGUGUUGAACUGAGCAGGGGGCCAAGCGCCAGUCCUGGGCUGUAUCUGUAUCUCCACGGAAGAUCAAAACGUGGGGGCCGAGGAGUCCUCUAUGGAUUGUUUCUUCUGAACAGAAACAGUGUGUGAAGUCAAGCGGGGGAGCCCUCCCUUUCCAGAAGCGAGUCAUUGAAGAAAUGCCCCUGUGCGGACUCCCCACACGUUAGCACUGGCGGCCAGGCCGGCCUCCCAUGGAGAGCCCCUCUUCAGAGCCACCUUGCCCCCAUUUCCCCCUCAACUGCUCAGCUCACUGGGGAGGAAGGCAGCGAAGUUGUAAAAACUUACUUUUUGGAAAAAUAAGAAUUAUGGGGAAGGACAUUAAUUUAAAAGCUUUUAAGGAGCCAAUUCACCUGUGAAAGUGCUCCCCAGGUGAGGGCCUUCCUGUGUGGAGAACAGCCCGGUCUUUAAAAGCAUUUUAAUUAAUGUUGCUGAGAAACACGCUGAUGGUAUUUAAGUCUGAAGAGCAAAGGUACCAGCCAAGAGUUUUAUGACGUGGUGCUAGUUCUCUUAAAGGCUGUUGAAAUAAUGUUCCCGUGCACUCAGCCUCCCCACUUAGUGCGGGUGGCGGCCAAGAGGAAGUGCUGGAAUCCUCGGUGGCCUAACCCCGGCCCUCAGGACAGAACAGAAGGCAGGCGGCCCCGGCCAGGACAUGCCCAGUGGAAUUUCAGAGGCACUUUCGGGAACACAGCGCCUUCGCACCUUCUGCUCGGUACACACCUCGAGGGGUGGCAGCCAGCUCUUGGCGGCCCACCCAGCACCCUGAAGCCUGAACUGCCUGGACUGUCGCUGAGCAAAUGCCAGGGCCCGAAGAGGACCUGGAAGAGGGCGGGUGAGGGGCUGCAGGCGUGUGGGGCCUGGAUGAUCCCAUCUUGACGACGAGCUGGGAACCGCAGACCGGUGUCAUCCUGGCUGGAGAUGGAGGUCUCUACAUGGCUCCCUGUGUGGCCAGACCACUGUGGCUGGACCAGAGUUUCCCGAUAGCCUCUGGGAAUGGCAGGGACAGUGGGGGAGGAGGUCCCAGGGGAUUUUAUUAACAGAAGGGGGGAGAGAGGGUAGAGAAAGGUAAUGGGAACAAGUAGCUGAAAAUAUGCCCUGGAGAGCAGGGGAGGAGGCUGAGCAGGCAACUUCAAAAGGGAUGGAAGAAAAUGGGGGCUGCGGAGAGUUGAAGAGUGACCCCAAAAGAUAUGUCCAUCCAGAACCUCAGAAUGUGACCUUGUUUGGAAUAAGGGCUUUUGAGGAUAUAAUUCAGCAGCCCGGGGGCACAGGCACGCAGAAGAGACUUUCCCACAGCGGUUCCCAGAGCCCUGGAUGAGGCGUCCUCCAAAGGAUUAUGUCACCAAGUUUCUGCAGGUGAUGAGUUUGGGAGCUGUUGGGUCAACUGAAGGUCAUAUAUGUGAGUGUGUUGCAAAUCUCCAGGGGGCUUUAGAAUGUGGGGUUUUCUCAAACUGUUUAACAAGGCGGCUUUGUUUCCACGGUAUGUCUCCUUGUCCUUGUGUUUCUCGCAAUGUCCCUUGGGAAAUGCUGGUCUAGACCACCGGGGUCAGGGGCUCGGGGAGGGAGGGCACUGCAGCGGAACGAGCCUGGACUGGGAGUCAGGAGGCUGGCCCGCCCAGCUCUGCCGGUGACACGGAAGUGACUCUGGGCAGCCCCUGAUUUUUCUUGACUCCACUGUCUUAGCCUAGGUCCUCCAGAAAACAGAGCCGUAAACCAGACUUCCCACAUCACUGCUUUAGUGGGAUGGUGAACCCAGGGAAGGAGUGAGGGAACAGCCGGG
rnacentral:lncRNA from 1 species